GGAUCCUUAGCUCAGUUGGUUAGAGCUACCGGCUCAUAACCGGUUGGUCCGGGGUUCGAGUCCCUGAGGAUCCA
rnacentral:tRNA from 1 species